rnacentral:rRNA from 1 species
UACGGAGGGAGCUAGCGUUGUUCGGAAUUACUGGGCGUAAAGCGCACGUAGGCGGCUUUGUAAGUUAGAGGUGAAAGCCUGGAGCUCAACUCCAGAAUAGCCUUUAAGACUGCAUCGCUUGAAUCCAGGAGAGGUGAGUGGAAUUCCGAGUGUAGAGGUGAAAUUCGUAGAUAUUCGGAAGAACACCAGUGGCGAAGGCGGCUCACUGGACUGGUAUUGACGCUGAGGUGCGAAAGCGUGGGGAGCAAACAGG